GAUGAUGAUGUUUAUUGACGCAUUUCCUGAAACUGGAUUGAAAGAAGCUGUUUUUGCAGCAGUUGUUCCCAAUAGUGCAGAUAAACUUCUCAGUGAAGUUGUAGAAGAGAUCAUGGGGGAUCAUGAAAUGCUGUCUGCUCAGAACUCAAGCUGAAACAGGAAGCUAGACAAUUGCAGAAACAAAAAAAUCCCGUUUAUCUUAUCACCGAAUAGCUUCGACGCAGAAUGCCAUUUAGAUAUGAUAUGAUAGUCUAAGUAGUCUAUGUUUCCGUGAUAAAAAGAAUCAUUUGUACAUGAUUCUGUUUGACAGAAAAACAAAGAGUUUAAUGAGAUCUCUGGUUAUUAGAA